UGUGUGGGGACAGGAGUCGCCGGGAGGAAAGGGGAAGCCCAUUGGGCAACCAUACCCGCACGGCCGGACCUCUGCAGAGCAGUGUGUGUACGCUGCCAUGCCGGCCACCAUCCCUCUGCAGCAUCUGGCUUUGUUUGUGACUGAGUGUUUUGCAGGUUUAUUUUUAACAGGAUUAUGAUACUCUUUUUCCAGUCAGAUUUUUGCAUGUCGCCAGUGAAUCCCCCAGAAUAACACCUCUUGAAGAAGAGGCAAAGCCAUUUUUUAAAAUGAGUUUCUUCUGAGCGUAUGUCUAGGAAGCGCCAUCAGGAAGUUGUGCUUAGCAGAGUCAGGCACCCAUCAACAACUGCCUGCUGCUCCUACACCAUGUAUAUGUAAUGCCAUGUAUAGAGGAGAUGAAAGAGCUUGUUCUGCCCAAGCUGGAAGAACUCUGUGGAACCACUUGGCAUUGCUUCAUUUUGAUCAGCGGGUCACCGACAUAAGAUUGUCUGCUGAUGUUCUGUGGAAGUGUUGACUUACUGUUAUCCAUCAAUUGAAGAACAAAUAAAGUGCAAGUUUAUCUUUUUGUUUCCCUUUUCAAUGUGUGGAGGAUCACAGCAGUCUGCAGCAGUCCAAAGAUGGCAUAGAAACAUGGGCAACUUGGUUUCUAAGUAUUUUUGUCUGGUUCUGUUGGUAAUGAGAUACAUCCACAAGAGCAGUUAAGACUAAUCUCACUUACAUACACCAAGACCAUUGCAAUCCAUUUAUUUUCAGAAUCAGGAAAGUAAUGGGCUUUGAACAGGGGAAUAAACCUAAUAAUGGCUUCAUGUCACAUUCGGGUCUGCUCUCUAGCUUGGCUAGUAGCAGUUGCAUAUGGAGUGAACAGUCUGGUGCCUGAAGAUGGACAAUAUUGAGUCAUGCUGUGGUGCUGUUUUUGAUUUGUGAAAUUCUCAUGUCCAGCUCCAGAAGACGAUUUUUAUGGAUUAGAAGACCAUGCAGAUGAUUGCAGUGCUCUGUCAGCAGACUGUGUUUGCCUGCAGAGCUCCAGAACUCUGUCCAUCUUCAUAAGAAGAUAAAGCCUGUGCUGUAGAAAAGACUGAAUUGUUGCUGCUGCUCUCAAGUAUAUUAAAGCUACUUCAUAUUGCCGUUGUGGUUAUGCUGCUGUCUGCUUGUGGUGUGCUGCAUGUCUACAGUUAUACCUGCAUUACCGAAUUCUUGGGAAGAGCUGGAAGCUAAUGCUUGGAUAAGCCAGAGCCUCUUGUCCAUCGUGAACAAAGAGCCUUAACUACCCAUGAGUUCCUGUUUGGUGCCCUUGCAGAACUUGUAGAUAACGCCAGAGAUGCAGAUGCCACGAGAAUAGACAUUUAUACUGAUCCCAUUUUGUGGAACUUUUAACUUCUGCUUAUGGGAGCAGUGAGUAAGUCUUCCCUUGCAGAGCGACGAGAGGACCUGCGAGGUGGAUUCAUGCUAUGUUUUUUGGAUGAUGGAACAGGAAUGGAUUCAAAUGAAGCUGCCAGUGUUAUCCAGUUUGGUAAAUCAGCCAAGCGAUCACCUGAGUCCACUCAAAUCGGACAGUAUGGGAACGGCUUGAAAUCGGGUUCCAUGCGGAUUGGGAAGGAUUUUAUCCUGUUCACAAAGAAGGAUAACACCAUGACUUGCCUCCUCUUGUCACGGACGUUCCAUGAGGAAGAAGGCAUCAAUGAGGUUAUUGUUCCCCUACCUACCUGGAACACACGGAGCUGUGAACCCGUGACGGACAACAUGGAGAAAUUUGCUAUCGAGACGGAGCUUAUUUACAAGUAUUCCCCUUUCAAAUCAGAACGGGAAGUGAUGGACCAAUUCAAUAAGAUAUGUGGUGAGAAAGGCACCCUGGUGAUCAUCUUUAACCUCAAACUAAUGGAUAAUGGAGAGCCAGAGCUGGAUGUGACUUCUGACCCUCAAGAUAUUCAGAUGGCAGAAACACCCCCAGAGGGAACCAAGCCGGAGCGCCGCUCCUUUCGUGCCUAUGCUGCUGUGCUUUAUAUUGAUCCCAGGAUGAGGAUCUUCAUCAACGGACACAAAGUACAAACCAAACGACUCUCAUGCUGCCUCUACAAGCCAAGGAUGUACAAAUACACUUCAAACCGUUUCAAGACCCGUGCAGAGCAAGAGGUGAAAAAAGCAGAGCACAUGGCGAGGAUAGCGGAAGAGAAGGCUCGUGAGGCAGAGAGCAAAGCCCGUGCCCUCGAGCUACGCCUUGGAGGGGAUCUCACUCGGGAGUCUAGGGUGACACUGCGUCAGGUCCAGAACUUGGCCAUCACCAUGCGGCAGGAGGCUGACGUCAAGAAAAGGAUUAAGGACGCAAAGCAGCGGGCACUGAAGGAACCCAAGGAGCUGAAUUUUAUCUUUGGAGUAAACAUCGAGCAACGUGAGCUGGAUGGCAUGUUCAUUUAUAACUGCAGUCGGCUGAUCAAGAUGUAUGAGAAGGUGGGCCCACAGCUGGAGGGUGGCAUGGCAUGUGGAGGAGUGGUAGGUGUGGUGGAUGUGCCCUAUUUGGUUCUGGAGCCAACCCAUAAUAAACAAGACUUUGCUGAUGCCAAGGAAUAUCGACACUUGCUGAAGGCCAUGGGAGAGCAUUUGGCUCAGUAUUGGAAGGAUGUCGCAAUAGCCCAGAGAGGUAUCAUCAAAUUCUGGGAUGAAUUUGGUUAUUUAUCAGCAAACUGGAACCAGCCUCCAUCUAGUGAACUGCGCUACAAACGCCGGAGAGCCAUGGAGAUCCCCACCACGAUUCAGUGCGAUGUCUGUCUGAAGUGGCGGACUCUCCCGUUCCAGCUGAGCUCAGUGGAGAAGAACUACCCUGACAGCUGGGUGUGCUCCAUGAACCCUGAUCCUGAACAAGACAGAUGUGAGGCUGCAGAGCAGAAGCAGAAGGUACCACUGGGAACUCUAAAAAAAGAUUUGAAAACAAAUAAGGAAAAGCAGAAGCAACUGACAGAGAAAAUCCACCAGCAGCAGGAAAAGCUGGAAGUUCUGCAGAAAACCACUUCAAUUCGCUCUCAGUCUGACUUAAAGAAACUGCCUCUGGAAGUGACCACACGGCCUUCAAGGGAGCACACCCGAGCUCAGCGCCCACGAUCUCCGCCUUUGCCUGAUGUCAUAAAGAAUGCUCCCAGCAGACCACCAGGAUCUUCACCUCCUCCCAAGUACUGCAGUCAGCUGAAAAAGAGCUCUUCAGAUCAUCCAAAUACCAGCUCUCCCAAGCUAGCCAGCAUGCUCUUCAAGGAGGAGGCCAGCACUUCCAGGACAUACCAUCACACUGUGACAUCUGGGAAGUCUAACAGCACUUUAAAAACUCUUGCCAAAUCAGGUACAAGCAUGAAGCCCCUCUCUGGUCUGCAGAGCCCCAAAAGCCCACGUGAGACACCCAAUCCAAAAGCUGCCAAGGUGCCAGCAGUAAGGAAAUCUGCCCCUGGCAGAUGUUUACAGGCCUCCAGCACUCGAAAGAGGGCCUUGAACAUCCCAGAGGAUGGGUCUGAGGAGGAGGGGGAACCCAAAAAGGAGAGGACAAAACGAGGAAAAUUUUUGGCGGUGAAAGAAGAGAAGGAUUCCAGUGAGGUGGUGGUGGAGCUCACAGACAGUGCUGGAGAGGAAGAGUUGUUGGAACUGAAGAAAGCACAGAAAGACAAGGGGCUGCACGUGGAGGUGCGUGUGAACAAGGAAUGGUUCACAGGCCGUGUCACAGCUGUUGAAAAGGUCAGGCACGCAAUCCGGUGGAAGGUGAAGUUUGACUAUGUCCCUACAGACACCACACCAAGGGAUCGCUGGGUAGAGAAAGGCAGUGAGGAUGUAAGGCUUAUGAAGCCUCCCUCUCCUGAGUACCAGGCUCCAGACACACAACAGGAAGAGGAAGUGGUCAUGGCUGAACCUUCUACCUCAGACUGCGUCAGAAUUGAGCCUGACACCACUGGUCCCAGCAGCAGCCAAGAAACAGUUGACUUGCUUGUCCAGAUCCUUCGGAAUUGUUUGCGAUACUUCUUGCCUCCAAAUUUUCCAAUCUCCAAGAAUGAGCUGAGUUCCAUGAGCUCAGAAGGGUUGUUGGCAUUUCCCUUGGUGAGUUCAGUACUUCUAGAAAAAAAGAAUAUUUUAAGCAGUAUGAGAUGGGUCUGCAGAACCUGUGCAAUUCAUAUCAGACACGUGCCGAUGCUCGGGCCAAAGCCUGUGAGGAAAACCUCCGGAACUCAGAGAGGAAGCUGAAGGAAACGGAGGAGAAACUGCAGAAGCUUAGGACUAAUAUCAUGGCCCUUUUGCAGAAAGUGCAGGAGGACAUUGAUAUUAAUACAGAUGAUGAACUGGAUGCAUAUAUCGAGGACUUGAUCAUGAAAGGAGACUGAACAGCUCCAGUACAAGUCCUGGAGAAGUGCAGAAGAGAUGGCUGCUACAAUGGGAGAUGUGGAUCUCUGUGCAGGUGGACUGGGGCAGCUGAUGAGGAGAGAGUUUUUUAGACAGCGCUCAUGUUGAUGUACAACUUGUUCCUGUGACUGUACAUGAGAAACAUUUGUGCUGUUUGCAGGAAAUUUUUUAACUUUGUAGUUCUCCAAAUCUCUUCCUUUUGUUUAUAAAUAUUUAUUUUUAAAAGAAAUGGGAACUGUGCCUGAUAUGAUGGGUGUUUUUAGUGAUGUAGAAGUGUGAGUACCCUUUUUGCUACGCGAGUAUAUUCAUAUGCUAAGCCUGGGAGCUCAGAGCACCCUGCUUAGCUUACUGGUUCUUUAGUAAGAACCUGGCAGAAACUUAAAAGUACGCCUUGAGUUGUGGCAGAGGUGGUCAGGGAUUUUUGUGGAAGAUACUGAACUUGGGCUAGAGAAAGUCAAACCAUGAAUUGGAGUUAGGGACAGAAGAUGUCCGUUUAUGAGUGUGAGGGGAUGGAACCUUGGUGGAUCUCAGAAAUUUAGCACUGGCACCUGCUAUGAGCUUCCUGAACAGGAGGUCUCUGCAAGUAGGUGAAACCGCCACCAUGGUAACAGCUGAGAGGCUGAGGGUUCUUACAGAAGAGGAUCUACCUUCUGAUCUACUUGCAGUGGGCUGUGAGCAUCAGAGAAAAGAAUGCUGGAGUUCACAUUCUCUGCUUGUAGUCACUUAAUCACUGACUUCGGCUGCUGUUUCUUUGAGACAUAAUUAUAGUGUCAGAAGAACUUCUUGACUGCCUGACAAUAAAGUGACCCCUGUUCUAUAGUCA